GCCAGGUGUGGUGGCUCACACCUGUAAUCCCAGCACUUUGGGAGGCUGAGGUGGGUGGAUCACCUGAGGUCAGGAGUUCGACAUCAGCUUGACCAACAUGGUGAAACCCCGUCUCUA
ensembl:misc_RNA Metazoa_SRP Metazoan signal recognition particle RNA